rnacentral:rRNA from 1 species
GACAGAGGGUGCUAGCGUUGUUCGGAAUCACUGGGCGUAAAGAGUGCGUAGGCGGUCCUGUAAGUUUGGUGUGAAAUCUCCCGGCUCAACUGGGAGGGUGCGCCGAAGACUGCAGGGCUUGAGUAUGGGAGAGGUAAGCGGAAUUCCUGGUGUAGCGGUGAAAUGCGUAGAUAUCUGGAGGAACACCGGUGGCGAAGGCGGCAUCCUGGACCAACACUGACACUGAGGAGCGAAAGCCAGGGGAGCAAACGGG